CAAUGGGCGCAAGCCUGAUCUAGCCAUGCCGCGUGAGUGAUGAAGGCCCUAKGGUCGKAAAGCUCUUUCAAYUGRGAAGAUAAYGACGGUACCUGUWGAAGAAACCCCGGCUAACUCCRUKCCAGCAGCCGCGGUAAUACGGNGGGGGYUAGCGUUGUUCGGAAUUWCUGGGCGUAAAGCGYACGUAUGCGGAUUAAUAAGUUMGAGGUGAAAUCCCAGGGCUCAACCCUGGAACUGCCUUUWAAACUGUUAGUCUUGAGUUCGAGAGAGGUGAGUGGAAUUCCAAGUGUAGAGGUGAAAUUCGUAGAUAUUCGGAGGAACACCAAUGGCUAANGCGGCUCACUGGCUCGAUACUGACGCUGAUGUACGAAAGU
rnacentral:rRNA from 1 species